rnacentral:rRNA from 1 species
CCAAUAGCGUAUAUUAAAGUUGUUGCAGUUAAAAAGCUCGUAGUUGAAUUUCGGGGUUCUACCGUUGGUCGGGCUUUGUCUGUACUGGCGUGUAGAAUUUCUACCUUCUGGGGAACCAUCAUAUUAUUAAUUUAACGUGGUGGGAAACCAGGACCUUUACCUUGAAAAAAUUAGAGUGUUCAAAGCAGGCUUGUGUCUGAAUACAUUAGCAUGGAAUAAUAAAAUAGGACGGUGGUCCUGUUUUGUUGGUUUCUGAAUCACCGUAAUGAUUAAUAGGGAUAGUUAGGGGCAUUAGUAUUGAAUUGUCAGGGGUGAAAUUCUUGGAUUUAUUGAAGACUAACUUCUGCGAAAGCAUUUGCCAAGGAUGUUUUCAUUAAUCAAGAAAGAAAGUUAGGGGAUCGAAGACGAUCAGAUACCGUCGUAGUCUUAACCAUAAACUAUGCCGACUAGGGAUCGGACGAUGUUAAUUUUUCUUGACUCGUUCGGCGCCUUACG